UCAGGCCUAACACAUGCAAGUCGAACGGUAACGCGGGGCAACCUGGCGACGAGUGGCGAACGGGUGAGUAAAGUAUCGGAACGUGCCCAGUAGUGGGGGAUAGCCCGGCGAAAGCCGGAUUAAUACCGCAUGAGACCUGAGGGUGAAAGCGGGGGAUCGCAAGACCUCGCGCUAUUGGAGCGGCCGAUAUCAGAUUAGGUAGUUGGUGGGGUAAAGGCCUACCAAGGCAACGAUCUGUAGCUGGUCUGAGAGGAUGAUCAGCCACACUGGGACUGAGACACGGCCCAGACUCCUACGGGAGGCAGCAGUGGGGAAUUUUGGACAAUGGGGGCAACCCUGAUCCAGCCAAGGCGCGUGAGUGAAGAAGGCCUUCGGGUUGAAAUCUCAUGGGCAGGAACGAAACGGCGAGCUCUAACAUAGC
rnacentral:rRNA from 1 species